rnacentral:rRNA from 1 species
GACGUAGGGCGCGAGCGUUUGUCCGGAUUUAUUGGGCGUAAAGAGCUCGUAGGCGGCUUGUCGCGUCGACCGUGAAAACUCGCAGCUCAACUGCGAGCCUGCGGUCGAUACGGGCAGACUAGAGUGCGGUAGGGGUGACUGGAAUUCCUGGUGUAGCGGUGGAAUGCGCAGAUAUCAGGAGGAACACCGAUGGCGAAGGCAGGUCACUGGGCCGCAACGACGCUGAGGAGCGAAAGCAUGGGGAGCGAACAGG